rnacentral:rRNA from 1 species
AGCGAACGCUGGCGGCAGGCCUAACACAUGCAAGUCGAGCGCCCCGCAAGGGGAGCGGCAGACGGGAGAGUAACACGUGGGAACGUGCCCUUUGGUUCGGAACAACCCAGGGAAACUUGGGCUAAUACCGGAUAAGCCCUUACGGGGAAAGAUUUAUCGCCGAAGGAUCGGCCCGCGUCUGAUUAGCCAGUUGGUGGGGUAAUGGCCCACCAAGGCGACGAUCAGUAGCUGGUCUGAGAGGAUGAUCAGCCUCACUGGGACUGAGACACGGCCCAGACUCCUACGGGAGGCAGCAGUGGGGAAUAUUGGACAAUGGGCGCAAGCCUGAUCCAGCCAUGCCGCGUGGGUGAUGAAGGCCCUAGGGUUGUAAAGCCCUUUCGGCGGGGAAGAUAAUGACGGUACCCGCAGAAGAAGCCCCGGCUAACUUCGUGCCAGCAGCCGCAGUAAGAC